AUCCUUCGGUUCAUGAGUGUGAUGAUUGGGUGUUCAUGCUGUAUGCGUGAGAUGUGCCUCCCUCAAACCUUGUUACGGUGUCGGCACAUUACCCGUCUGAUC
ensembl:snoRNA SNORD13 small nucleolar RNA, C/D box 13